rnacentral:rRNA from 1 species
GACGAACGCUGGCGGCGUGCUUAACACAUGCAAGUCGAGCGGUAAGGCCCUUUCGGGGGUACACGAGCGGCGAACGGGUGAGUAACACGUGGGUGACCUGCCCUCAGCUCUGGGAUAAGCCUGGGAAACUGGGUCUAAUACUGGAUAUGACUCCACGGUGCAUGUCGUGGGGUGGAAAGCCUUGUGCGGCUGAGGAUGAGCCCGCGGCCUAUCAGCUUGUUGGUGGGGUGAUGGCCUACCAAGGCGACGACGGGUAGCCGGCCUGAGAGGGCGACCGGCCACACUGGGACUGAGACACGGCCCAGACUCCUACGGGAGGCAGCAGUGGGGAAUCUUGCGCAAUGGGCGAAAGCCUGACGCAGCGACGCCGCGUGAGGGAUGACGGCC